AACGAACGCUGGCGGCAUGCCUAACACAUGCAAGUCGAACGAGACCUUCGGGUCUAGUGGCGCACGGGUGCGUAACGCGUGGGAACCUGCCCUUAGGUUCGGAAUAACUCCCCGAAAGGGGUGCUAAUACCGGAUAAUGUCUUCGGACCAAAGAUUUAUCGCCCUUGGAUGGGCCCGCGUUGGAUUAGCUAGUUGGUAGGGUAAAAGCCUACCAAGGCGACGAUCCAUAGCUGGUCUGAGCGGAUGAUCAGCCACACUGGGACUGAGACACGGCCCAGACUCCUACGGGAGGCAGCAGUGGGGAAUAUUGGACAAUGGGCGAAAGCCUGAUCCAGCAAUGCCGCGUGAGUGAUGAAGGCCUUAGGGUUGUAAAGCUCUUUUACCCGGGAUGAUAAUGACAGUACCGGGAGAAUAAGCUCCGGCUAACUCCGUG
rnacentral:rRNA from 1 species